UGCGUGUCAUGUACACAUGUGCUUGUGCGC
rnacentral:piRNA from 1 species